GGCGAUGGAGAAGAAUCUUACCUCUGAUGCCGAGAUAGGUAGAUGUGAGGUCUUCUUAAGAGCCCAUACAAGAAAGGACAAAGUUGUCCAGUAUCCUGACCUUGCUGAAAAACUAGAUGAGCUCUAUAGUAGCAAUCCUGCUUCUAGGAUGACCGGCGUGGAUGAUGCCCUUACAGAGUUGGUUGGUUCUGACAAAAGAGGGCGAAUGCGGA